rnacentral:piRNA from 1 species
UCUCUGUGUAACCCUGGCUGUCCUGAAACU